rnacentral:lncRNA from 1 species
AUUCUCUCUCAUAUCUGCACCUUUCAAAGUAUGACCGGAUACCAAAUUCAAUAGAUCGUUUAGCUCCAAAAAUGUAGUUAAUACAUUUAGCAUUGUUGACUUCCUGGAAGAACUCAUGACCUGCAAAAUUCCUGCUAAAAAAUGAACUGUAUGGGGUAAAGAGGGUCAGAGCCAAACAAUACAACUGGGUAAUCAGAACAGUAACACAAUAACAGUGUUUUAAACUGUUCUCAGGAUUUGUUUUAAUCUGUAUGGUAAGAUACACAGAUGUGAUAGUAACUUCAAGAAGGAAGAAGUCCUCAGAAAUAGGAUGCACAACAGUCUAUAGCACGCAGGGGCACAAUACUGGAAAGUACUAGGAUCAGUGAGUGAAUGGAGGAAGUACAAUGGGAACCAAGGAAGCAUUUCUUUGGUUUUCUUGGGAAGGAAUAGGCAAAGCAUGAUAAGCAGGUUUGAACAGGUUUAAGAUUAGCUAGUUUGAAUAAUUAGCCCAAUUUUGCAUUUUAUUAGAGACAGGGUCUGACUGAGUUGCUUAGUGCCUCACUAUUGCUGAGGCUGGCUUUAACUGUUU